UUACAGCCAUAUCAGGCUGAAACACUGGUUCACAUACAAUCACUGAAGUUAAGCAACAUCAAGCCUGGUCAGUUUCUAGAUGGGUGACCAUUUGAGAAUACCAGGUGUUGUUA